UACGGAGGGGCUAGCGUUGUUCGGAAUUACUGGGCGUAAAGCGCGCGUAGGCGGAUCUGCAAGUCGGGGGUGAAAUCCCGAGGCUCAACCUCGGAACUGCCUUCGAUACUGCGGGUCUCGAGUCCGGGAGAGGUGAGUGGAACUCCGAGUGUAGAGGUGAAAUUCGUAGAUAUUCGGAAGAACACCAGUGGCGAAGGCGGCUCACUGGCCCGGUACUGACGCUGAGGUGCGAAAGCGUGGGGAGCAAACAGGGAGU
rnacentral:rRNA from 1 species